rnacentral:lncRNA from 1 species
AAUUCUGUUAUUGCAAUGAAGAUAUCCUGUAAGAGUAAUGCUUUAUUCAUGUUUAGUAAUGGUUACAGGGACAGAUAACUAAUGAGAUUUUUAAGUUAUUUGGCUGACGUGCACUAAAUUACCGUUUCCCUUUCCAGAUACCUGCAUUCGCAGCGUACAAGCUCUCUGGAUUUAUCAAAGGAUUUUUGCCUCAAGGUUCAGAGGUUCGUGUUAAGAAUAUGGAACCAAAUUGUGAUAGAUUAACAAUUCCUUAACUAAGUGACCUAAGGCCCUAAUGUUUCUCUUGAUUAUUCAGGAUGCUGAAGAGGAUGAAAAGACCAGAAAAAAGAGAGAGAAACUGGAGAAGAAAGCUUCAAGAACCAAAUUUGUUAAAACAAGAGCUCGAUAACUCAGCAAAGCAAUGAAGUAGAAUGGUGUUGCUGAGACUUGUGCAUUGGCUGAUUGACUACACCUGUUCUUCAAAUGUCAGAAAAUUGUGUUCUAGCACAUGAGUUGUCUCGAGACUGGAGAUCGAUGUAGUCUGAUCUUGUUGAAAAUUAUGGUUUCGGAUACUUUGUAGGAUUGCCAUAUACAGAUUCAUUUUAUGUCUGUUUAAUGUAUUUGUGUAUGUCUUGGUCAGCAGACUACAUUUCCAUAUCCACUUUGAAGAAACCUGUACCAUGACAUAAUCAAGGAUUUAGCUACAUUUUGGUGCAAUUUGGAACUUGAUCUCGAAACCCUUUCUCAGGUUUGAGAUAUAAUUAUGUUCUAUGAGUAUAUUCUGAUAGAAGUAUAUUUUCGAAACAUGAAAUUUUUGCAAGAGGAUGGAAUUUUUUAUUAGUCAACUGAGUUGGCCACUCAUCUAACACACUAGUUUAGAGCAUUUUCAGGUUCUAUGAUUUAAACUUUAUUGGUUCG